rnacentral:rRNA from 1 species
UACGGGGGGAGCAAGCGUUGUUCGGAUUUACUGGGCGUAAAGGGCGCGUAGGCGGCCACCGCAAGUCGGUUGUGAAAUCUCUGGGCUUAACCCAGAAAGGUCAACCGAUACUGCGGGGCUAGAGUGCAGAAGGGGCAACUGGAAUUCCCGGUGUAGCGGUGAAAUGCGUAGAUAUCGAGAGGAACACCUGCGGCGAAGGCGGGUUGCUGGGCUGACACUGACGCUGAUGCGCGAAAGCUAGGGGAGCGAACGGG